UACGUAGGGCGCAAGCGUUGUCCGGAAUUAUUGGGCGUAAAGAGCUCGUAGGCGGCUUGUCACGUCGGGUGUGAAACGGCCGGGCUAACCCCGGGCUGCAUUCGAUACGGGCAGGCUAGAGUGUGGUAGGGGAGAUCGGAAUUCCUGGUGUAGCGGUGAAAUGCGCAGAUAUCAGGAGGAACACCGGUGGCGAAGGCGGGUCUCUGGGCCGUAACUGACGCUGAGGAGCGAAAGCGUGGGGAGCGAACAGG
rnacentral:rRNA from 1 species